rnacentral:rRNA from 1 species
UAAGGAAUAUUGGUCAAUGGACGGAAGUCUGAACCAGCCAUGCCGCUUUGAGGAUGAAGGCCCUCUGGGUUGUAAACUUCUUUUAUUUGGGACGAAACACUCUUUAUCUAGAGAGCUUGACGGUACCAGAUGAAUAAGCACCGUCUAACUCCUUGCCAGCAGCCGCGUUAAUACGGAGGGUGCAAGCGUUAUCCGGAUUCACUGUGUUUAAAGGGUGCGUAGGCGGAUUUGUAAGUCCGUGGUGAAAUCUCUAAGCUUAACUUGGAAAUUGCCGUGGAUACUAUAAGUCAUGAAUAUGGUGGAGGUUAGCGGAAUAUGUCAUGUAGCGGUGAAAUGCAUAGAUAUGACAUAGAACACCAAUUGCGAAGGCAGCUGGCUAAACAUAUAUUGACACUGAGGCACGAAAGCGUGGGGAUCAAACA